rnacentral:lncRNA from 1 species
CUCACCACCACCAUGCCCUCCUCCUUACCCAGGGUGAAGCAUGAAUCUGCACAUGGGGAGGCUUCAGAGGACAACUGAGACAAGAAGCAGGAAGCUGAGAAAGGAGGACACCUCCCACACACACAUCUAGCAAAAGCUGGACAUUUCUGGUCAGUCAUCCUUAUGCAAAGACUUUCUGGAAGGAGCAGUUAUUCUUGGUCCUAGGUAGUGACAGACACCAGCCUGCACUGUAGCUGAAAACCCCUGAGAAGCCACAGAUGUGCAGUCUUCCCAGCUUGACUACAUGCCCAAGUCUUCUGAACCUUAGUUUCCCAACCUAGGAAAUAAAAAUUGUGCCCUUUACCCCUCAUGAACCUUAUUGGGGUCUUAUAAGAUUGCUCCUGGUUGCCAUUUGGCCCACAGAUGGGUUUAGUUUGGUGGACAGUGUCCCGAAAGACUUACAAAUUCAGAUCUGACUUGUUCAUUUGUGUAGGGGAGAGUUGGUGGCACACAUCCUCUCUGUCACUGUAAGUAUGUUCCAAAUGUCACAUUAGGUCCACUGGCACGUGUAAGCCCUGUCUGGCAUUUGCCUGGUCCCUGCAGGCAUUUGGGUUGGCAGUAAACUUUCUUUUCUAACAGAUUUCUG